rnacentral:rRNA from 1 species
GAUGAACGCUGGCGGCGUGCCUAAUACAUGCAAGUCGAGCGAACGGACGAGAAGCUUGCUUCUCUGAUGUUAGCGGCGGACGGGUGAGUAACACGUGGAUAACCUACCUAUAAGACUGGGAUAACUUCGGGAAACCGUAGCUAAUACCGGAUAAUAUUUUGAACCGCAUGGUUCAAAGGUGAAAGACGGUCUUGCUGUCACUUAUAGAUGGAUCCGCGCUGCAUUAGCUAGUUGGUAAGGUAACGGCUUACCAAGGCAACGAUGCAUAGCCGACCUGAGAGGGUGAUCGGCCACACUGGAACUGAGACACGGUCCAGACUCCUACGGGAGGCAGCAGUAGGGAAUCUUCCGCAAAGGGCGAAAGCCUGACGGAGCAACGCCGCGUGAGUGAUGAAGGUCUUCGGAUCGUAAAACUCUGUUAUUAGGGAAGAACAUAUGUGUAAGUAACUGUGCACAUCUUGACGGUACCUAAUCAGAAAGCCACGGCUAACUACGUG